rnacentral:rRNA from 1 species
UACGUAGGGUGCGAGCGUUUGUCCGGAAUUAUUGGGCGUAAAGGGCUCGUAGGCGGUCUGUCGCGUCGGGAGUGAAAACUCAGGGCUUAACCCUGAGCCUGCUUCCGAUACGGGCAGACUAGAGGUAUGCAGGGGGAGAACGGAAUUCCUGGUGUAGCGGUGGAAUGCGCAGAUAUCAGGAGGAACACCGGUGGCGAAGGCGGUUCUCUGGGCAUUACCUGACGCUGAGGAGCGAAAGUGUGGGGAGCGAACAGG